GCUAGGUUUGGUGGCACAUGCGUACAGCCCCAGCUACUUAGGAGGCUGAAGCAGGAGGAUCCCUAGAGCCCAGGAGUUCUGGGCUGUGGUACACUAUGCCAGUUGGGUGUAAGUUUGGCAUCAAUAUGGUGAUGUCCCUGAAGCAGGAAACCACAAACUUGCAUCAGGACGGGUGAACCCAGCCCAGGUUGGAAAUGGAGCAGGCCAAAACUCCCAGGCUGAUCAGUAAUGGGAUCUUGCCUAUGAAUAGCCAGUGCACUGCAGCCAGGACAACAGAGUGAGAACCUGUCU
rnacentral:SRP_RNA from 10 species